GCAUCAUGAGACACCAUCAAGGCUACAGCUUGCAUCUUCUUGAGCAGCGGUUUGAUCCACACCUGGGACUACUUGAGCCAUAGCUGGGGCAGCGGAGAAGCACCGCACCAGAAUCUGGUGAACAGGGUCCUGAGGCGGUCCUGCGGAGGAAGUCUGUGGAAGCACUUUGAAAAUGUCACCCCAGUCCCUCCUGGUCAUCUUACUCCCUCCUGGCCUGUACAGUUUCCAUUGAGAAGUCUGCUGCCAGAUGGAUUGGAGAUGCUUCAUGGGAGUGAAGCUAGCCUGCUUCUAUGCUGCCAUUUUGGAACUCCUGAAAAAUAUUUUCACUGGAUUAGAAUUAGAGCUUGAUAGUUCUUUCCUUUAAGGACUUGGAAAAUAUUGUGCCACUUUCUUGUCUCCAUGUUUCAGUAGAGACUGCGUUUCACCGCAUUAGCCAGGAUGGUCUCCAUCUCCUGACCUCGUGAUCCGCCCACCUCGGCCUCCCAGUGCUGGAAUUCCAGGCGUGAGCCACCGCACCUGGCCUUCUUCUUUCACUCUGAAGACUCCAUUGUGAUUCUACUGGGUCCACCUGGAUAAGCCAAGCUAAUUUCCCAUCACAAGAUCUCCCAUCUCAAGAUCCUUAAUGUAAUCACAUCUCAAAGUCCAUUUUACCACAUAGCAUGUUCACACGUUCUGGGGACGAGGAAGAGGACAUCUUUGGGGAAUCAUUAUUCUGCCCACUAUAGUGAUUUUAAACCUUAUUUGAUCUGAGUUUUAAAAAAAAUGUUCUAAGGUUUUAAUUCAUUUGCAUUAAAAUGUUAUUUUAUUAGAAGGGCUAUACAGCCUUUACCAAAGGAUUUGUAAGAUGAGGAUGUCAUUAUCACAAUUGUCUUUUGACACAUGCCUAAAGGUGAAUUUAAUGGUGUUUAUGAUCACCCAACUACCAAGAAAUACAUAAAAGAUGUAUUACAUUCUCUUGUUUGUAAAUGAGAAGACUAGUAUUCAAAUGUUCUCUUUCAGCUUUAUAAUCCUAUGAAAAGGAGGAAGUUCUUGACUGACAUUAGACUUGUGUUAAAUUUCUAGACCCUUUCAAAGGAAAAAUCAGAUACUCCCAUUUCUGUAUAACUGACUUCUCAUACCUAAGUAAAACUUCACAGCUUUCCAAUUAAGUUUCAUUUUCUGGUUUCAGCCCAGUUAUAUAUACCCAAUCAAGAUAAUCUGGCAUCUUGACUCCCUUCAAUCAUUAGUUAUCCAUUCCAGCCAUGAAAAACUGAAGAUUUAUCCAGUUCAACAUAAAAUUUUGAACAGGAAACAACUAAAGGGCAUUCUAGCAUAGAGACAGAUUGACACAAAAGCAUACUCUUUUUGGAUAUGGUCAUCUAGUUACUCACCAGCAAGUACUGAAAGUACUGCUGUGGUUUGGAUGUGGUUUGUCAUCCCCACUAAAACUCACAUGGAAAUUUAAUUUCCAAUAUGGCAGU